GGGUGUGAGGGAGAUCUGGGUACAAUAUCUCCCACCCCACUGAUUACCCAGGUUGAGUCUGCUGACCUGGCUGGUUAGGUGCUGUCUUCUUCAAAGCUCCAUGGGCAUUCCUUCUAAAACUGCUCACUUGGUCCAAGCAGACAACCCUUCCCAAUGCAGUGGUAUAGCUAGGGUGGUGGGUCUUCCAUGGGCAGCACAUUUUUUGAACAUCGUUACUGGUCAAAAGGAAACUUAUAUUGACAUAAUUUAUUCCAUUUUAACAAGGCAUACAUCAAAAUAUAAAUGUUUUUUCUCU
ensembl:misc_RNA 7SK 7SK RNA